GGGCAAGGAAGAGACUUCAUUCAUCCAGUGUUUCUAAAAGUGCCUUAAGGGAAACAAAACCAGCCCGGGUCUGGCCAGCAGAAUUCCAAGCCAAAACCCACUUUUCUCUCACACCCAGGCACACCAGUAAAGUCCCUCUUGAAGUGAU